rnacentral:rRNA from 1 species
UGAUACCUGGCUCAGGACGAACGCUGGCGGCGUGCCUAAUACAUGCAAGUCGAGCGAAUCGAUGGGAGCUUGCUCCCUGAGAUUAGCGGCGGACGGGUGAGUAACACGUGGGCAACCUGCCUAUAAGACUGGGAUAACUUCGGGAAACCGGAGCUAAUACCGGAUACGUUCUUUUCUCGCAUGAGAGAAGAUGGAAAGACGGUUUNGGCUGUCACUUAUAGAUGGGCCCGCGGCGCAUUAGCUAGUUGGUGAGGUAAUGGCUCACCAAGGCGACGAUGCGUAGCCGACCUGAGAGGGUGAUCGGCCACACUGGGACUGAGACACGGCCCAGACUCCUACGGGAGGCAGCAGUAGGGAAUCUUCGCAUGGACGAAAGUCUGACGGAGCAACGCCGCGUGAACGAAGAAGGCCUUCGGGUCGUAAAGUUCUGUUGUUAGGGAAGAACAAGUACCAGAGUAACUGCUGGUACCUUGACGGUACCUAACCAGAAAGCCACGGCUAACUACGUGCCAGCAGCCGCGGUAAUACGUAGGUGGCAAGCGUUGUCCGGAAUUAUUGGGCGUAAAGCGCGCGCAGGUGGUUCUUUAAGUCUGAUGUGAAAGCCCACGGCUCAACCGUGGAGGGUCAUUGGAAACUGGGGAACUUGAGUGCAGAAGAGGAAAGUGGAAUUCCAAGUGUAGCGGUGAAAUGCGUAGAGAUUUGGAGGAACACCAGUGGCGAAGGCGACUUUCUGGUCUGUAACUGACACUGAGGCGCGAAAGCGUGGGGAGCAAACAGGAUUAGAUACCCUGGUAGUCCACGCCGUAAACGAUGAGUGCUAAGUGUUAGAGGGUUUCCGCCCUUUAGUGCUGCAGCUAACGCAUUAAGCACUCCGCCUGGGGAGUACGGCCGCAAGGCUGAAACUCAAAGGAAUUGACGGGGGCCCGCACAAGCGGUGGAGCAUGUGGUUUAAUUCGAAGCAACGCGAAGAACCUUACCAGGUCUUGACAUCCUCUGACAACCCUAGAGAUAGGGCUUUCCCCUUCGGGGGACAGAGUGACAGGUGGUGCAUGGUUGUCGUCAGCUCGUGUCGUGAGAUGUUGGGUUAAGUCCCGCAACGAGCGCAACCCUUGAUCUUAGUUGCCAGCAUUCAGUUGGGCACUCUAAGGUGACUGCCGGUGACAAACCGGAGGAAGGUGGGGAUGACGUCAAAUCAUCAUGCCCCUUAUGACCUGGGCUACACACGUGCUACAAUGGAUGGUACAAAGGGCUGCAAACCUGCGAAGGUAAGCGAAUCCCAUAAAGCCAUUCUCAGUUCGGAUUGUAGGCUGCAACUCGCCUACAUGAAGCCGGAAUCGCUAGUAAUCGCGGAUCAGCAGCCGCGGUGAAUACGUUCCCGGGCCUUGUACACACCGCCCGUCACACCACGAGAGUUUGUAACACCCGAAGUCGGUGAGGUAACCUUUAUGGAGCCAGCCGCCUAAGGUGGGACAGAUGAUUGGGGUGAAGUCGUAACAAGGUAGCCGUAUCGGAAGGUGCGGCUGGAUCCCCUCCUUUCUAUACUGGCUGAGUU